rnacentral:lncRNA from 1 species
AUGGAACUAUUUGGCCACGAUGAGAAACGGAUUAAGCACUACAGAAGUUCUCAGAAAAUACUCUUAUGGGAGAAGGAGACUUCUCCCUUUCAGCUUGCUUAGCCAGAGCAUUUGGCUCUGCUGCCAACAUGGUUGCAACUUCUCGACUCCAGGGGUAAUUGGAUCAUCUUUGACUGUUUCACAAAUUCUGAUUAUAAGAUAUAUACUUUGAUAUUAAAGUUACCUCAUUAAUGUAUUUGCUUCUAAUAUUUAUAUAACAAAUCUGAAAAGUUACUCUUUUUUUUUUUUUUUUUUUACUUCUGCUUAAAUUUUGGGUUUCUGACUGAAUUCAUUUGUAUCCUAAUUGUAGAGGAAUUAAUGGUGAAGUAUUCAAAAGCUUUGAGAAACUUGAGGGAAUUAGAGAAUAGGGGAUGCAAAAUAUUCCACGGGCUAGAUGUGUGCACACCAUGCACUAUCACCCUCUCCUUAUCAAGAUGCAGUUUGAUCGAAUAA